rnacentral:rRNA from 1 species
AUACGGAGGAUGCGAGCGUUAUCCGGAUUUAUUGGGUUUAAAGGGUGCGUAGGCUGUGCGUUAAGUCAGGGGUGAAAUGCCGUCGCUCAACGACGGAGCUGCCCUUGAUACUGGCGUGCUGGAGUACGGAUGCCGUUGGAGGAAUGAGUGGUGUAGCGGUGAAAUGCUUAGAUAUCACUCAGAACCCCGAUUGCGAAGGCAUCUGACGAAUCCGUCACUGACGCUGAGGCACGAAAGCGUGGGGAUAGAACAGGAUUAGAUACCCGGGUAUUCCACGCCGUAAACGAUGAUGACUAACCGUCGGCGAUAGACAGCCGGUGGCCAAGCGAAAGCGAUAAGUCAUCCACCUGGGGAGUACGUCGGCAACGAUGAAACUCAAAGGAAUUGACGGGG